rnacentral:rRNA from 1 species
ACUGAACGCUGGCGGCAUGCUUUACACAUGCAAGUCGAACGGCAGCAUGGGCUUCGGCCUGAUGGCGAGUGGCGAACGGGUGAGUAAUGCAUCGGAACGUGCCGUGUAAUGGGGGAUAACAGAGCGAAAGUUGUGCUAAUACCGCAUACGUCCUACGGGAGAAAGCAGGGGAUCUUCGGACCUUGCGUUAUACGCGCGGCCGAUGUCCGAUUAGCUAGUUGGUGUGGUAAAGGCUCACCAAGGCGACGAUCGGUAGCUGGUCUGAGAGGACGAUCCGCCACACUGGAACUGAGACACGGUCCAGACUCCUACGGGAGGCAGCAGUGGGGAAUUUUGGACAAUGGGCGAAAGCCUGAUCCAGCAAUGCCGCGUGAGUGAAGAAGGCCCUUGGGUUGUAAAGCUCUUUCGUUUGGGAAGAAGGAAGUGUGGCUAAUAUCCACGCUGACAGACGGUACCAAAAUAAGAAGCACCGGCUAACUACGUGCCAGCCGCCGCCGUAA